CCUACGGGUGGCAGCAGUGGGGAAUAUUGGGCAAUGGACGCAACUCUUAACCAGCAAUGCCGCGUGAAUGAAGAAGGUCUUCGGAUUGUAAAGUUCUUUAAUUGGGGACGAAAAAAAUGACGGUACCCAAGGAAUAAGCCCCGGCUAAAAACGGGCCAGCAGCAGCUUGAAUACGUAGGGGGCAAGCGUUGUUCGGAAUGACUGGGCGUAAAGGGUGUGUAGGCGGUGUAGCAAAUGAGAGGUGAAAUACCGAGGGCUUAACCCAGGUGCUGCUUCUAAAACUGCUAUACUUGAGUGCAGUAGAGGAAAGUGGAAUUCCUGGUGUAGCGGUGGAAUGCGUAGAUAUUAGGAGGAACAUCAGUGGCGAAGGCGACUUUCUGGACUGUAACUGACGCUGAGGCACGAAAGUGUGGGGAGCAAACAGGAUUAGAUACCCCAGUAGUC
rnacentral:rRNA from 1 species